rnacentral:rRNA from 1 species
GACGAACGCUGGCGGCGUGCUUAACACAUGCAAGUCGAACGAAAAGGCCCUGCUUGCAGGGUCCUCGAAUGGCGAAGGGGUAAGUAACACUUGGGUGAACUGCACUUGCCUUUGGGAUGAGCCUGGGAAACGGGGACGACUACUAAAAAGGCACCAUUUCUAAUGUGGUGGUUGGGAAGAGUUUUACGUGGGGGAUGAUAUGGCGGCCAAUACGCUAGUUGGGGGGGGAAUGGCAUACCCAGGCGGCGGCGGGUAGCCGGCCUGAGAGGGUGGACAGCCACAUUGGUCCUGCGAGAGGGCGCAGACGCCUACGGGCGGCAACAGUGGGGAGUCUUGCACAAUGGGCGCGAGCCUGAGGCAGCGACGCCCCGUGUGGGAUGACGUCUUUAGCGUUGUGAACUCCUUUCGCGAGAGAAGAAGCUUUUUGUGACGGUACCUAGAUAAGAAGCACCGGCUAACUACGUG